rnacentral:rRNA from 1 species
GGGUAACCUGCCCAUAAAAAGGGGGAUAAACNAUCCGGAAACGGGUGGCUUAAUACCGCAUAGGUUUCUUGGUCGCCAUGAACCGAGAAAAGGAAAGACGGCCUUUGUGCUGUCGCUUAUGGAUGGACCCGCGGCGUAUUAGUUAGUUGGUGAGGUAAUGGCUCACCAAGACGAUGAUACGUAGCCGACCUGAGAGGGUGAUCGGCCACAUUGGGACUGAGACACGGCCCAAACUCCUACGGGAGGCAGCAGUAGGGAAUCUUCCGCAAUGGACGAAAGUCUGACGGAGCAACGCCGCGUGAGUGAAGAAGGUUUUCGGAUCGUAAAACUCUGUUGUCAGAGAAGAACAAGUCGGAGAGUAACUGCUCCGGCCUUGACGGUAUCUGACCAGAAAGCCACGGCUAACUACGUGCCAGCAGCCGCGGUAAUACGUAGGUGGCAAGCGUUGUCCGGAUUUAUUGGGCGUAAAGCGAGCGCAGGCGGUUCCUUAAGUCUGAUGUGAAAGCCCACGGCUCAACCGUGGAAGGUCAUUGGAAACUGGGGAACUUGAGUGCAGAAGAGGAGAGUGGAAUUCCAUGUGUAGCGGUGAAAUGCGUAGAUAUAUGGAGGAACACCAGUGGCGAAGGCGACUCUCUGGUCUGUAACUGACGCUGAGGCUCGAAAGCGUGGGGAGCAAA